UAGGAUAGGGUGCAAAGGUUGCUGUUAUGGGCUAAAUUGUAUCUCUCAAAAUUCAUAUGUUGAAACCCUUACCUCCUGUAUUUCAGAAUAUGACUGCAUUUGGAAAUAGGGACUUUAAAGAGGUGAUUAAGUUACAAUGAGGCCACUAGAGAAGACAAUUAUCCAUUUGGACUGAUGUGCUUAGAAGAAGAGCAUAUUGGUAAAAAGAGACACCAGAGGUACAACAGCACAGAGAAAGACCAUGUGAGGACAUAGUGAGAAGAUGGCCAUCCCAUCUGCAAGCCAAGGACAGAGGCCUCAGGAGAAACCAACCCUGAUGACACCUUGAUCUUGGACUUCACAGCCUCCAGAACUAACAUACUCAAGUGUCUCAGCUCAACAUUUGGAGAUGAGCCAUCCUCCUCUUAUUGUAAGAAAAGCUUGAAGGAGUAUUUUCACAGCGAUGGAACUGGAAGUUAAGGCAACUUCUAUCAGCAUCAAGAAAAGAAAAGAAGUAUUCACCACUUACGAAACAACAUCUCUCUUCUCAUCAAUAGUUUGAUUUACAGCAUCUACUGCAGAAGACCUCAAUAAUGCAUAAGAACAUCUGGAAGUACGGUAAUUUCAGCUAUCAGAGAUAAGAAUUGACACAGAACAGUUUCCUCACUGGAGAAAAUAAGCCUGGUUAUUUUUUGGCCUAUGUUGAAACAUCAUAAGUAGAAUGAAACAGCAUAAUUUUUUCCCCCUGGGGUUCAAGAGUUUAUUUCUUUUGAUACAACAAUAAAUCAACUGACGAAAUGGAAUUUCUUUGCAAUACAUAUGCAACAAGUUAGUUUGCAUGGACAAGUUGAGCUUCAGUUUAUAUAUAGACACUCUGGAACAUUUUAUUAUAAAGCAAUAGUGCUGGAAAGCCACUUAAAGGGGUAACUGCACCAGUAACUAUGAGAAGGAGAUAUAUGAUUAACCUAGUAGAACUUAAAAAGUGAUUUCUGCAGCUUUGAAAUCAUCUACACAUGAACUCAAGCAGCAAUACGUAUUGGUUUAGAUUCUGUGCUAUCAUUGGUACAUGGUACUACACAGUGAUGCUGUUUAAAUGAAGAAAUCUACUCUUCUAAAAAAUCUUUGCCACUGAUGCCACAUACAAAUACCGUAUGGACUAGCUCUCAGAGCCAAAGCAGGAAAAAUCGCCAAAGGGUAAAAAUAGUUCUUGAUAUGAUGAUACGCUGCUAAAAGCCACAUGGUGUUUGGGUGCAGUAUUUCACAGUCAAACAAUCAUAAUUUCAUGCCUAAAAUGUGCAUGUUAUUUCAGGAAAAUACAAAAUCUGAGCAUUGCACAUUUGCUACAGAAUGACCAGUGAGUGUUGCUAUAAUGAUUUGUUUUUCUUUUACAAAUGAAUAUUUCUUGCUGAGCCUUUUCAUGCCAUAUUGCCUGGGGCGGCAAUGGAAGUAAGGACAGACUGAGGUUAGAGUUGGAGGGAGUAUUGGGGAUGUCUGGUCUUUUCUGCUAAAUUUCUAUAAUGCUACAGAGUAGGUAUAGUAUAAAAAAAAGCUUCCCUUUUUGUUUUCUUUCUUUCUUGAAAUGUUAAGUACUGUAGUUCUCAUCUUAGAAGAAGAACUGGGUUUUGUGGGGCUGGAUGGUAAGAGACAGCUUUUUCAAAAGCAUGGUUUAUAUCUUUCUCCAAGAGUACUACGGUUCUCAUGUGAUCUUUAGUAAAUAUUUAUGAUAUGAAACUCUCUCUCCCUUAAAGUUGUAAUGGAUUUGGAGGGUUCAAUUGAUCUGAGCCCAUGGUCAUUGCAGUAGAAAUACAAGAACAUAUUAUAAAUGUUAGUUUCUCUAAAAUAUUCCUCAUAAUUUGUUUAAGCUAUAUGAUACUCCACAGUCAGGCUGAAGAGUGAGAAGGAUAGGUAUAAAGAGAAAUCUGUAAAAAUUGGAAACGACAAGGAAAGGGAAUUAGUAUAUGUUUUUUGUCUUGUUUUGUUUUGGUAACAAAAAUUGCUUAUGCAAAGAGAAAAAAUCUCCUGACAUUAUUAAACAAAAGUGGAAGGUUUGUGGCAUCCAGCAAACUAGAAAAAUAUUUAAAGUCCUGGAGAGAAAAAAUAAAAUAAAACAAAAACCAGUUGAAAGUCCAUAUCAUGACCUCAUACUCAUGAGGAUGGAUGAUUAAUCCCGGUAUCAAUGCAGGGUAAAUGAAAAAGGAUUUGGUUCCUUACCAUAAUAAUAAUUGAUAGCAUUAUAUAAGAGCUUACUGUGUGCCAGGCCCUUUAAGAAAAUAAACUCGUUUAAUUAUUUAUAAAAAAAUUUACAGGUACUAUUACUAUACCCAUUUGGCAGAGGAGGAAACUGAGGAAGAGAGAAGCUAAGACACUAUAGACAAACCUUUAGAAGAACAUUAGCCAGUAAGUGCAAGCUGGAUGACUGAGAAGAGUUGGGAACUGUGGCUAAAGGUACAGAGAGACACAAGCUGUUGUCAUGAGGUCAACUAGAACUAAUGAAAGAAAUUACUAAGUGUUGUAUUAAUAAAAGAAGACUAUGUAAAAAUUAAAUACUAAUAUAAUUAAGUGAUGUUACUCUGUACACUUGUCUUCUACCUCAACUUAAUAGUUUGUAGCCCCAGUGGCAAUAUAUUUUUGAACUGGAGACGAUCUUAAAGGUCAUCUAGUUCAGUGAAACACAACAUUUUUUCUGAUAGGAAAUGAAAGACAACACUCACUUGCAGAGCACAUCCUGAUAUGAAGAAACUGAAGGCUGGAGCGAUUAUCUCAAGACUUCAUAGAUAAUUAGUAGUAGGAUAAAGGCGCCAAAUCAGCUGUUCUGACUCCCAGAUCAAAUUAUUAAAUAUAUGCGUGGUGAAGAAUAGGGGAAAAAAGACAGUAUCUCUGAGGCCAUACUGCUAAAAUGCAUACUGGGGAUAUUGAUUGACUAUCUAUUAUGUCUCAAGCAUUAUAACACAUAGAACAGAUGUGACUCCAAUUAUCAUGGAUCCUAUGGCUAGCAAAGGAAAUGGGUCAGCAACAAUACAGUAGGCUCUUAUCCAUGGUUUCACCUGAGGUUUCAAUUACCUGCAGUCAACUGUGGUCUGAAAACAUUAAAUGGAAAAUUCCAGAAAUAAAUAAUUCAUAGGUUUUAAAUCCUAUGCCAUUUUGAGUAGCGUGAUGAAAUCUCCUGCCAUCCUGCUCUUUCCUACCUGGAACAUGAAUUACCCCUUUGUCCAGCAUAUCCACACGGUAUAUACUGCCUCCCAGUUAGUUAACAUUAUCUGCUCCUGACAUCCAGCCGAUAUUGUCAGGGCUCAGUGAUUCAGGAUCACCCAGAGCAGAUGAUCCUCCUUCUGAUGUAUCACCAGAAAGUCAAGAGUAGUCAAACGCUAUGUGACAAUGCCACUGUCAUUCACCUCACUUCAUCUCAUUAUGUAGCUACUUUAUCAUCUCACAUCAUCACAUGAAGAAAGGUGAAUUCAACAAUAGAUAUUUUGAGAGAGAGAGAGACUGCAUUUACAUAACUUUUGUUACAAUAUAUUUUUAUUAUUAUUCUAUUUUAUUAUUAAUUAUUGUUGUUACCGUGCCUAAUUUAUAAAAUAAACUUUAUCAUAGAUAUGUAUAUUUAGGAAAAAAGCAUAAGAUGUAUAAGUUUUUGUGUUAUCUAGGGUUUCAAGCAUCUACUGUGAGUCUUGGAAUGUACUCCUUUUGAAUAAGGGAAGACUGCUGUAAGGUUGUAGUAGAAGAGGAUGCUUUCAGAUCUUGGAGAACACGUACCAAAUCUGGACUCAAAGACUUCGGGGAAAGUUUCAAAAAUGUUUACUGAAUAAAUGGAUAAAAGCUUGUCAGGAGAAAAAUUAGAGGAAAGAAAGAUCCAGCCAGACAUAAAAAAGAGAGUAUUGCAUAGAGGAGCAACUUUUAAGAAAGUGUUGUUUGAGUUCAUUACAGAGUCUAAUGGGAAGUGGGAAAGGUGAAGAUAAAAGGGUAGGCAGGGGCCAGUUUUUAAAGAGCCUUCAGUACAGUAUUAAGCAGUUUGAAAUUUAUCUCAAGGACCUUGAAGAGUUUUUAACAAGAAAUUGGUAUUUAACAGAUUUAAAUUUUCGCAAAAUUACCCAGUCUGUAGUGUGAGUAGAUUCAUGACAAAGAAACUAGUAUAAGAGAUAUUUAGCAACAAUCCAGGUGAGAGAGAAAGUGUCUUGCUGUUUUGGUAAACACAUGCAGAUGGAGGGGAAUGGAUGGAUUUGAGAGGUUUGAGGGGCAGAAUGGUAAGCAUUGUGCUAAUUAAGUAUAGUAUGAAUGGUGACAGAGCAAGAUGUAAAAAUCAAAACAAUGCUAAACUUUAUAGUUUAUCCCUUUAUCCUGGUAUAUAAUAGUGACAUUUGCCAAUUUUGGAAAUAAUGAAAUGUGGAUUUUUAAAUGUAAUUCUCAGAGGAGGAAACUAACAAGAAAUAGAUUUUAAACAAACAAAAAAAUCUGAAAGUAGUGUGACAGAAGUCGAGAAAAGAUAAUUUUAAAGAGAGAGUGGUCAGCAGUGUCAAAUGCAGUGGAUAGAACAAGAAAAUUUACAACUAAAAAGAGUUCACUGACUCUAUCAACUGGACGCUUGAUGAGAAUGAUUUUAAUGAUGGGGUAUAACUGUUGAAUUGGAGGAGGCUCAGUGUGUUGCCAAAAGAAUAUUACACUCAAACAUGCUGCAGGAAGACAACCAAAUGAUAGCUCCAGGUGUUGCACUUCUGGAUUCACCACUGUUGGAGCAGAGUCCAUAUUUACCAUUGGCUGCCUAUCGCCAAUGACUGAACACAGUAGGGGUGUCUUAGCCCAUUAUCUGUUGCUAUAACAGAAUACCCGAGACUGCGUAAUCUGUAAAGAAAGGAGUUUUAUCUUGGCUCAUGGUCCUGGAGACUGGAUAGUUCAGGAAACAUGGUGCUGGUGUCUGGCGAGGGUCUCCUAACUGCAUCAUAAAAUCGUGGAUGAUAUCACACAGAAAAAGCAUGUGAGAGAGAGACAGGACAAGAAGGCUGACCUGUUUUAUAACAACCAGCUCUCACAAGGACUAAUCAAUUCCUAUGAGAACUAAUUCAUCUGGUGGAAACUAACCCAUUCUCACAAGAAAGACAUUAAUCUGUCUUAACAACCUAACCACCUCUUAAAUGUUCUACCUCCCAACGCUGCUAUAUUGUCAAUUAAAUUUCAGUAUGAAUUUUGGCAGAGACAAAGCACAUCCAAACCAUAACAUUCUAGUAUCCCCCGACAACUCGUGUCCUCGUUAUAUGCCAGAUGUAAUCAUUCCAUCCCAAUAGUCCCCAAAGUCUUAAUUUGGUCUGGCACCAACACAAAGGUCUAAGGUGUCAUCUAAGACUCAAGGCAAACCCUUUCCAACUAUGAGCCUGUAAAACCAAAAAUCAAGUUAUCUACUUCUAAAAUACAAUGGCAGAACAGGUAUAGGUUAAACAUUCUUAUUCCAAAAGGGAGAAAUAAACAGGAAGAAAGGAGUAACAGGCCCUAAACAAUCAUGAAACUCAGCAAGGCAGACAUUAAAUCUCACAGCUCCAAAAUAAUCUUUCAAUCCGUGUGCCAUUUUCUGGACACAAUAUCUUAAAACUGUGCCAUUGUCUGAGACUCUUCCUAACCAAUCCUUCUUCCUUCAAUCUCUCCUUCACAGGGAUCCUCAACACAGUGUGAAGGUUUUCCUCACCUAUUCAUGAUCCCUCCCCUUCCUCUUUUGCAGGUAUUUUCCCAGACAUCUCUUAACGCACAUUAAAUCUUUUCUUGAUAUCUGCUCCUCUAAAUUGCAAACAAAUGUUGAACGCUAUGAAUAUUUGUCUCCUCCAAACCCUGCAUUGAAAUUUAAUCCCCAAUUGGGAAAAGUUGAAAGGUGAGGUCUUUAAGAGGUGAUGGGGUAAUGAGGGUUCUGCCUUCAGGAAUGAAUUAAUCAAUUCAGGAAUUAAUGGGUUAAUAGAUGAAUGGGCUAUGAUGGGAGUGUGACUGGUGGGUAUACAAGAAAAGGAAGAGAAACCUGAGCUACUACACUCAUUCUCCUCACCAUGUGAUAUCCUGUGCUGCCUUGGGACUCUGCAGAGAUUCCCUACCAACAAUAAGGAUAUUAUCAGAUGUGGCCCCCUUGAUCCUGGAUUUCUCAGACUAAGACAUUUAGGAAUCAAUAAGAGGUGAAAACUGGAGACAUUACCAUGCAAAGAACAUUUGCCAGAAGUGUGGUUAUCAGGAAGGAGAGACCAUAAAAUGAGUAGAGAAGUUUAUCUGAGAAGUCACAAAGGAUAGAAUCUGGAGGCCAGCAGAAAUGGUAGCCUUAGCAAAAGGAGAACACUUACAUUUUCACAAAAUGGGGAGGAGAGUAGGAUAAAGAUGCAGGUGAUUUUAUAGGUUUAGUGGUAGGAUAUUAAAGCAAUUGUUACUUCUUGGCUUUUAAAAAUUCUAUGAAUUAGGAGGUGAGGCCUCCCUUGAGAGGGAAGGGGAAGAUUGAACAUUGGAGGAAGAAAAUAGACACUGUGGUCCCUACAAUGUACAGCAUUUGAGAGAGAGCAAACCAAUAAACAGCAGGACUCCAGGGCAGCUUCAAGGACCAAGUUAAAUUUGGUUGGUUGCUUUUAUCUUUCCAAAAUGAGCACAGUAAUUUUGUUACAGGGUGAUAGAAGGCUGAAAGUUUGAGUUUAAUUUUAAUUUCCCCGUUUUCAACAUUGUUCUGACUACAUCCAUGUCACUAUCAUUCGCUGUUUGGGCAAUUUAAAUGAAAGCAUUUCUCUGAGAUUUCAAACUAGUGUAACUGUUCUUUCAAGACAUCUGGCUUCUUUAAAAAUCUUGAGAGUCCUUUUAAUAGUAGUAGAGAGACUCUCUCACUUUAGUAUAAAUAGUGCUACCUGAUUUCUAGUUCUUGACUAAACAAAAUGCUAAAACAAUAAAAAUAUAUCUUUGAUUUCUUCUCACCUUUCCAUUGGAUAUGACUCCUGAGACAUUUGUGUUCUCUAGGUGGACCUACUUCCCAUAUUAUACCUGCCAUUUAUUCCCACCACUCAUAAAUAAUGAAAACUCAAAGUGAGCCCAUGAGGGCUAAUAUUUCACCACAUUAGUAGCCUGAAGAUACAUUAUUAUGUUUGCAAUUAUGGUUUUCUGAGACAUCACAUUUGUAGUUUUGGAUAAAGGAAUGGAGAAGAAAAGUGAAAGUCUGAUGUAUCCUACAGCAAGAAAAAGUAAUCCUUAGCAACAAACUGAUUGUAAUAAGAUUCAGAGAUAACUAUGAGUUUUAUUUUUUCUGAAAUAAAUACAAAGACAAAAUGAUUACCUAUGAUAUUAACAUUGGAUGUUGCUUUAUUACACACAGAAAAAUGUUCAUAUCAGUUUCUUAAUUUUAUUUUUUAAACUGCAUUGGCAAAAUUGUUUGUAGAUUGAGGUGCUAUAAAGAAUUUUAGAGUACAAAUGCAUUUUUAACUGUUAGUUAUACAUAGCAUUUGCUGAAAAUUCCAUCACCUGGAAGCACAAUUGAAUAUGAAAACCGACUUUGACCUGUUCCCACAAAGAAGAAGAGAGUGAAAGCAAUGUUCCAAAAUAAAAUAACAUAGAAAAUGAUGGUAAUUAAGAGAAAAAAAAUUCUAAUAGUAUUAACUACAUUCUAAGAAUCACUAGUAUUAAUGAAGCUUUUAUAGCUAUAAAUAUUCUUUGUAGUAAUAAAGCUUUUUUAACUACAAAUAUUCUUUAUAUAUUUAUAUUCUACUCUCCAAUCCUUUCUGUGAAAAUCAUGUAUUCAGUUGCUACUACAUUCAUAAAGGCCUCCUACGAAAUGGAGGAAACUUAAGAUAAUACAAAUUCACGCUUUAUUCUUUGAGGAAAUUUCUGAAUACACUGAUGAUUUAUAAUCAUUGUAUUUUAUAUAAGGUCCUUAUAAAAAUACUACAGAGAAUAUAUUACUUUCAUGAACAACAAUGUAUUUAUUUUUAUCUUGCCUUUCUUUGAAAGUGAAGGAGACAGCUUUAGUAUUUUCAAUUUUUUUUUAAAGAGAGACACAUAUUUUUCAUUUUAGCAAAUUAUUUUCUAGUCCCAGCAGAAACACAGGAAACUGCAAUUAGGCAGAAUUUCCCAGAAUUAUUGUGUGUGUGU